AUUGAACGCUGGCGGCAGGCCUAACACAUGCAAGUCGCACGAGUGGCGGACGGGUGAGUAAUUUCUGGGAAACUGCCUGAUGGAGGGGGAUAACUAAUGGAAACGGUAGCUAAUACCGCAUACCUUCAGAUAUGCCCAGAUGGGAUUAGCUUGUUGGUGGGGUAACGGCGAACCAAGGUGACGAUCACUAGCUGGUCUGAGAGGAUGACCAGCCACACUGGAACUGAGACACGGUCCAGACUCCUACGUGAGGCAGCAGUGGGGAAUAUUGCACAAUGGGCGCAAGACUGAGGCAGCCAUGCCGCGUGUAUGAAGAAGGCCUUCGGGUUGUAAAGUACUUUCAGCGGGGAGGCGUUACCCGCAGAAGAAGCACCGGCUAACUCCGUGCCAGCAGCCGCGGUAAUUC
rnacentral:rRNA from 1 species